GGAGAAAGGCGUGAGCUAGCCGGAGAUGGUUACCGGUGUAAGCGUUUCAAGGUGCCGCGGAAUGGAGAAACGUUCCCAAGCUGAGGCGUGAGUCCGAGCACCUAAGGGUGCGAAGUAGUAUCUGUUCAUGGCUUCCUAGAAAAGCUCUAAACACCAUAAACUAUUAACGCCUGUACCCGAAACCGACACAGGUAGGGUAGUUGAGAAUACUAAGGGGCGCGA
rnacentral:rRNA from 1 species